CCAAUUGGUUUGCAAAGUUUAAAGCAAAAUUUGCAAGUUUGCGAAAUAAUUAUCUUAAUGAAUAUAAAAUGCUUACAUAUUAACUACACAUUUUAUUUUUGCUUGUAUGUACGUAAAAGACGUGUUAAGGAUUCUCACAUUUCGUGCAAUAAUAUUACUACCUCUUUCGCAAAUUUUCCAAAAAUGAGGUCCGAUUUCUUAAUCAGUGUGUUCCACGUCCUUCUCCGUGUCGCCCUCCACGACGACCAAGAUUCAGCCAGCAAUCAUUUGGGGCAAUACUACUUUCACAUCCCUCUCAUCGACUUUUCCGGCGUAAAAUGUCGAGUUCAAUGUCGGUACGACGGUCAACAAAUUGCCGACCCGUACGACUGCCACUCUUUCUACGUGUGCUCCAACUGGAUAUCGUACAAGCACAUGUGUCCCUUCUAUAACCACACCGAUCGCCUGAUCUUCCACCCUGUCGACUGGGCCUGCGUUCCACUUGAGGACUACCCAUGCAAUCAACCGUGCCGAGAACCGUGAAAAUUGUGUACAGUAAAAUGUUAUAUUUUUGAUAAUAAAUUGAAAUUUAAUUCGGAAA